GGGCAAUUAGCUCAGUUGGUAGAGCGUUCGCUUUGCACUCUGCAUGCGAAAGGUCGUGAUUUCGAUUAUCACAUUGUCCA
rfam:Ajellomyces capsulatus H88 supercont1.1 genomic scaffold, whole genome shotgun sequence.